rnacentral:rRNA from 1 species
GAUCCUGGCUCAGGAUGAACNCUAGCGACAGGCCUAACACAUGCAAGUCGAGGGGCAGCGAAGAGGUAGCAAUACCUUUGUCGGCGACCGGCGCACGGGUGAGUAACACGUAUGCAAUCCACCUGUAACAGGGGGAUAACCCGGAGAAAUCCGGACUAAUACCCCAUAAUAUGGGCGCUCCGCAUGGAGAGCCCAUUAAAGAGAGCAAUUUUGGUUACAGACGAGCAUGCGCUCCAUUAG